rnacentral:lncRNA from 1 species
CAUUCAUUCACUGAUUUGUACACAAGCAUGUGCUGGGCUUGUGAGGUUGGUUGUGAUUAUCUGCUCAUCCAUUCAUUCGCCCAUUCACUUUGAUUGGGAGAGUGGCGUGUGUAAGAAUUACCCCAGCCAGCCAUGCUCUGGCCUGUAAAUAUGAGUGGAGACCCAGUCCCUGCCCCGGUGUAGCUCGGAUCCAGGCUCAGAGGCGCUGUGUACAAGGAGCGGGGACACCUGACCCAGCCUGGAGGGGCGCCCGGCCUGGGCCACUGCAUUGCAGGUGACUUGUGCUUGGGCCGGGCCGGGCUCUGGCUGCUGCUGCUGCUGCCGGGCUCAGUGGCCCAGGCCUGAGGGUCACCAUGGACCAGGCCGCCCAGGGGACCCCACCUAACGCCACAGCCAGCAGCCGUGGCCAGGACACCAGGCCCUGGGGGACAUCGGGGGACAUGGAGGUGCCACUGGGACCCCUGGAGCUCCGCCUCUGGGGUGUGGAGAACCCGCCUUCAGGUGACAGCUGCAACAGGCCCCUCGGAGGCCCAGGGACGGUGAGGAGGAGACAGUGGGGCUGAGCACUGGGAACAAGGCUGAGCCCAGGACACCCCUGGGGAUUAGGGCAGGGCCAGAGCGGGGACCCCCUCUGUGACCGACCACCAGGCUUCGGGUUGGGUCAAGCUGAGGUGCAGCUGGAUGCAGUGGAUGGAGGGGACAAGGGGAAUGGAGGGGGGGCAGAGACUCAGAGGAGACCAGAGCCACAGGGAAGGAGACACGAAGUGGGAGACCGCAGGCUGCAGCCUUUUUGAGGUGGAAUCACACAGCCCUGGGCGGCAGACAGGGAGGUGGAGGCUGGGAGAGGAGGGGAGACCAGCCCCACCCGCAGUGCUCUGGGGAGGACAGGAAUGGAAGGGGGUGGUCCGGGGCAGGGAGCAAGGCGGGGCCCAAGAGGACAGAGACAGCCGAGGGGCAGGGGCAGAUGGGGCACUACACGGUGGGCAACAGGGACCACCCUAUCUUGGGAGUGACCUGGCCAUGACACAGAGACAACCACAGGACGAGGCACAAAC